GGGAUUGCCCUAGUAACGGCGAGUGAAGCGGCAACAGCUCAAAUUUGAAAUCUGGCUCUUUUAGGGUCCGAGUUGUAAUUUGCAGAGGGCGCUUUGGCGUUGGCAGCGGUCCAAGUUCUUUGGAACAGGACGUCACAGAGGGUGAGAAUCCCGUACGUGGUCGCUAUCCUUCGCCGUGUAAAGCCCCUUCGACGAGUCGAGUUGUUUGGGAAUGCAGCUCUAAAUGGGAGGUAAAUUUCUUCUAAAGCUAAAUAUUGGCCAGAGACCGAUAGCGCACAAGUAGAGUGAUCGAAAGAUGAAAAGCACUUUGGAAAGAGAGUCAAAUAGCACGUGAAAUUGUUGAAAGGGAAGCGCUUGCAGCCAGACUUGCCUGUAGUUGCUUAUCCGGACUUUUGUCCGGUGCACUCUUCUAUAGGCAGGCCAGCAUCAGUUUAGGCGGUUAGAUAAAGGUCUCUGUCACGUACCUCUCUUCGGGGAGGCCUUAUAGGGGAGACGACAUGUAACCAGCUUAGACUGAGGUCCGCGCAUCUGCUAGGAUGCUGGCGUAAUGGCUGUAAGCGGCCCGUCUUGAAACACGGACCAAGGAGUCUAACAUCUAUGCGAGUGUUUGGGUGUCAAGCCCAGACGCGUAAUGAAAGUGAACGGAGGUAGGAACCCUUUGGGUGCACUAUCGACCGAUCCUGAUGUCUUCGGAAGGAUUUGAGUAAGAGCAUGGCUGUUGGGACCCGAAAGAUGGUGAACUAUGCUUGAAUAGGGUGAAGCCAGAGGAAACUCUGGUGGAGGCUCGCAGCGGUUCUGACGUGCAAAUCGAUCGUCAAAUUUGGGCAUAGGGGCG
rnacentral:rRNA from 1 species